UAUAGAAACUUUAUAUCCAGGAUCAAAUGAGAAAUCAGAUUUAUAGGAAAUGAGGAAUCAACAUAACCCAGUAGUGGCAGAAGUUAUGCAUAAUAAAGAAACUUCAUACUCACAAUUAGAUGCUGACAUGAACAUGAAUAUGAUUAUUACAAAUAAUGAAAUAAACUCAUCAGAACUAUCAGAAGGUGAUAAUCGUGAAAAGUGCAAUUAAUUGUGCAACGUAAAAUUGCCUCUCAAAAUGAAAAGAAGAGGCCAUCCUAGGGGCAUUGGUACCACCAUUGUGGGUCUGAGGAAGAAACGUGGAAAGUGACAAAAAAGUAUUAAGUUUGUAAUUAUUGUUUUUAUUACUUUCAUGUUAAAUAAAUAAUAAUUUUUA